rnacentral:rRNA from 1 species
CCUAGGGGGGGCUGCAGUGGGGAAUAUUGGACAAUGGGGGGAACCCUGAUCCAGCCAUGCCGCGUAUGUGAAGAAGGCCCUCGGGUUGUAAAGCACUUUCAGUGAGGAAGAACGCCUGGUGGUUAAUACCCAUCAGGAAAGACAUCACUCACAGAAGAAGCACCGGCUAACUCCGUGCCAGCAGCCGCGGUAAUACGGAGGGUGCGAGCGUUAAUCGGAAUUACUGGGCGUAAAGCGCGCGUAGGUGGCUUGAUAAGCCGGUUGUGAAAGCCCCGGGCUCAACCUGGGAACGGCAUCCGGAACUGUCAAGCUAGAGUGCAGGAGAGGAAGGUAGAAUUCCCGGUGUAGCGGUGAAAUGCGUAGAGAUCGGGAGGAAUACCAGUGGCGAAGGCGGCCUUCUGGACUGACACUGACACUGAGGUGCGAAAGCGUGGGUAGCAAACAGGAUUAGAUACCCCAGUAGUC